GACGAACGCUGGCGGCGUGCUUAACACAUGCAAGUCGAACGGAAAGGCCCUGCUUGCAGGGUACUCGAGUGGCGAACGGGUGAGUAACACGUGGGUGAUCUGCCCUGCACUUCGGGAUAAGCUUGGGCAACUGGGUCUAAUACCGGAUAGGAGCCAUCUUUAGUGUGGUGGUUGGAAAGUUUUUUCGGUGUAGGAUGAGCUCGCGGCCUAUCAGCUUGUUGGUGGGGUAAUGGCCUACCAAGGCGGCGACGGGUAGCCGGCCUGAGAGGGUGUACGGCCACAUUGGGACUGGGAGACGGCCCAGACUCCUACGGGAGGCAGCAGGGGGGAAUAUUGCACAAUGGGCGCAAGCCUGAUGCAGCGACGCCGCGUGGGGGAUGAAGGCCUUCGGGUUGUAAACUCCUUUCGCUAGGGACGAAGCUUUGUUGUGACGGUACCUAGAUAAGAAGCACCGGCUAACUACGUG
rnacentral:rRNA from 1 species